UUCCUUCCUUUCCUUCCUUCCUUUCCUUCCUUCCUUUCUUUCUUUCUUCUACCAGUUCAGUUUCUGUAAACGAUAGAGGACUGUCUACGCUACUUCAUCCUGGGUGAAUUUUGGUGGCUUACAAUUUUCCAGCAACUGGUCCAUUUCAACUAAGGUGUAGCAUUUAUUUUCAUGGUGCUGACUGCAGUCUGACCAUGUUGUUCUUUUUGUUCUCCGAGUCUGUAGUGAAAUCUCUUCUACCAUCCCUGCUAUUUAUACCUUCUUUCCUCCCUCUUUUGCCCUUCCUGCUAAAGAUGUAUCAAUUGAUCAUUUCAAACAACCAGUUUUCCAUUUAAUGGAGAUUCACCAUUCUUUUUUCUCCCCCCCUUCGCCGUCCCCCCUACCCCCCUACAUGUGUUGUUUGCAUUGUCGUGGUUUUACUUCCUGGUUUUUUAGUAGAAGAAAUUCUUAUUUACACGUAUCGGGACUUUUGAGAUGAUUUCCAUCAGUACGAGCAGCCUUUUUAACUAGAUGUAAAGCCACUGAUCGUGAAGGCAGAAAUUCCCAAGGGUGUGUUGUCACCGUGGUACAAAUAUGUACAAUUUACUGAAAGUCUACUCGAUGAAAGUAUUCGAAUGCUUAUGAGAAGAGCAUGUGUUAGUCAGGCAUUGCUUGUUCUUAUCAUCGUUCCUGAGCCUGGGUUACAAAGAAUCUGCACGGAGUUAACCUCGUUCAAUAUGUUUCUCCAUGUUACAUCACAUGCCUCAUGGAUGCAAUCAGUGGUGCCAUUUCUCAAACCUUUAUGCUAUGCCAUCAGCAUUCUAAGCUCUGGACAUGUGUUAUCUCAUGUCAUCCUCGGAGGAAGCCUAGAAGGUGGGUCUCAUCAUCAGCCCCAUUUUACACCUAGGAAGCGGAGGGACAGAAAGGUGGAGUAAGAUGAAUAAUCACGGGUUUUCUUUCUUCUCUUGUCACCCUUUGUUGCAGUCUGGUGUGUUCUGGCCACACGCUUCCCUCGCCACCUCUUAGCUAUUCGAAAACCUCCAGCUUCACCUUCCCGGCUAGACCCCCGGGCUGGGCGGAGCUUCUAGCUCUAACUGGACCCCCAUGGAUCCACUCCAGAAAUGGAACCCAGCGUUGGUUUCCGGAUCUUCCCAGGUGACCGCUGGGGAGAACUCGCAGGAGGGUGCGGCAGCCUCUCAGCCUUCUUCCUCGGAACAGCUAAUGAUGGGCCUCAGCGGCCUGAACCCCAGUCCUGGUCCUGGCCUCUCUGCCCCUCUGCCAGAGGGGCUGUUCCAGCAGCAGUACAGGGAGGAGAAGACCCUGCGGGAGCGGCGCUGGGAGCGGCUGGGCUUCCCUCAGAGGAAGAAAGCAUUCCUGGGUCACCUGAGACGCAGGCACCGCGAUCACAUGGCACCUUACCCAGUGGAAAGGGAGACCAGGGUCUACCCCACAGGCGACAGAGCUCAGAAUCGGUUCCGAUGUGAAUGUCGCUACUGCCAGGGCCACAGGCCGAGUAUUUCUGGGCUCUCUGGCGAGAGGAAUGGGGCCCCCAACCCUUCCUCCUGGGAAACGCUAGUGCAGGGCCUCAGCGGCUUGACCCUCAGCCUGGGCACCAACCGGUCUGGCCUUCUGCCAGAAGGGGCACAGCAGCAGCAGCAGGAGCAAGAGGAGAAGUGCCAACUGGAGAAGCAGCAGGAAAGCAAGAGAAUGUUCCAGAGGCUGCUCAAGCAGUGGUUGGAAGAAAACUGAGAGCCCCCUGCCCCCUUUCAUGGGGCGGAGACCUGAAGGGAUUCAGACAGUGCUGUGUUGCCAGCUCCUGGGGGUGGGCUCCUUCUGGGGACCAGACAGUCAGCUGUUGUCGGAGGAGUCCCAAGACUAGUUUUGUGACUGGAUGGAUUCCUAUUGGCGUGAGAUUUGACCCACUCCCAGGGAGGUCCUCCUCUUCCUGCCUGUCAUCUGUGAAGCGCUGUGGGGCACCCUGGGGCAAGGCAGACUGCACACCAGUGGACCUCACCUCAUCCCAUAUGGCUCUCAUGCCGCAUGUUGUCGCUUUCCCAGCCUGGAUCUGCGUCUUUGCUCCCUACCUUGUUGUCAGUAAGAUAUAAGAUGUCUAUGUAGUGUGAAUGCCUUGUUCAUGUCCUUGUGCUUUUGUGCCGUUUUAUCGACUGCCUCCUGGGAGCAGUGCUAGGGCUGUUUGAAAUGGCGGUGCGCAACACUGAGAUCCAGGUUCGAGAAUCUGCAGCUAAACAAAGUGUGGGAAAGGGGUGUGGCAUUGGAACUUGGUGGCUCACUAUUGUACUGUCUGUGUAAACUAUUAUGACUAUGAUAAGCUAACUGUAAGUAAAUGUUUCCCUGCUUCUUAACCAUUGAGUAGUAUUCCCUCCGCGCAGGAUUUUCUGAUGGGGUACCUCAUCGUCAAUACCAAAUAAACACGUGUAUGAAAGGAAAGUAACUUUAGAAUUCAGGUUUGUUGAUCGAUAGUGGUUUGUUUCUUGUUGGACCUUGAGAUCCCCGACCAGCAGACCAGAGCAUGUCAAGAGGAGCUCUGCACUGUGGAGAUUCAGAAUGGGGGAGAAGGGGGCUCAAGAACCCUGUCCGGUCACUGUUUCAGGUGCUGUAGUGGGACCAGCAUUCAGACCAGUCAGGCAGCGAGGUUGGAAGCAGGGUCCCCAGAUCCCAGUAGGAGCCCAUGCUGGUUGCCGCUGAUGCCCUGGCUGAGGGGUCCAGGGCCAUUCCUUGUCACCCGGUGCACUGGUUUGGUGAAAGUGUACAGCAGUUUUCCGCCUGCUUCCUGAGAACCAGAGCAUCACUGAGUUAUUUCAAAACUGUAUCUGGAUUUAGACACGUUCUUUUGAUUUCAGGAAGCCUGAGUGAUUAAAUCUACCUAUUUUCCCCUACAGAAGCCCGUGAUGUGUAUCCAGCCACGGACCAUGUGAUUCCUCUGAGCCGAAAACAAAUUCUGCUUUGUGUCAGUCUGUUUUUAGGGAGGCCCCAGCACUACAUUGCUGCAGAAGUCUGCGCGUCUCCUGCCAACACAAGUGGCUUGAGAGCAGGUAAGUUUCUUAGAUUUUCAACUUGGGAUCCCCUCAGAGAACUUGAGAGCUAAACUGACCCGAUCAGGAUCUCGUCUCCCAGUUCCAAGGGAGAGGGUAAAUAAAGAAGGGCGAAUUCUUUCCUGAAACUCAAAGGCCUAAAUCCUAGAACGGGGAUUCUGCAGUGUUCAGAAGGGAUGACAGGGUGAUGCACAUUGGCUGGUUCUUUACCAGGUGUCAGACAGUAUCCUGCGUGUUUCUAUAUGUUAGCUCUUUUUAUCCCCACCACAGACCCAUCACUUAGCAACAAUGUCAGCCCCACAGUAGAGAGCUUGGCCAGGGUCCCCUGGGCGGCAAGAGGCAGAACUGGCACACAAGCCUAGGCAAGGUGGAGUCUAGCUGGCAACCUGAACCUGUUCCCCCUUUGUAAUGGCUAUUGCAAAGUCACCUUACUGACACCUCAUGCCUUCAAGGACCAAGUCUUGGUAAGAUGUGUUGUUGAAUCCUCAGCACAGCGCAACAGGGCAGGGAUGCUUAUUUGUUGCUGAGAGUCUGUGGAGGUUGUAAAGUGGUGGCCAGAGAGGCAAGCCUUUGUCUGACUCCCCACACACUGAGUCACGCUCCUCAGACCUCGCCUCACCAUCCUCAGUUCAUCGGCCACACCAGCUCCGUGAUGCCAAUGACGACCAAGCGUUAAACCAAUCCCCCGGGGUUCAAUUUCCACACUUGAACUCCCCCUAGUCUAGGCCAUGCUGACGGUUGUGGUGGGGAAAUGAGGAAGAAUGGCGCCGUUGGUCCUUGCCCUUAGGCACUGAGCAUUGAAUCAGGGAGGAAGAUUGGGCACUGUCUCAGUCUCUUUUGUAACAAGAUACUACAGACUGGGCAAUUAAUACAGAAGAGAAAGUUAUUUCUCAUGGUUCUGGAUGCCUGGAAGUCCAAGAUCAAAGUACCUGCGUCUGGUUUCUGGUGAGGACCUUCUUCUCACAUGGCAGAAGGUGGAAGGGCAAGCGGAGAUGGACGUCGUUCCUUUCAUGGCAGUGGAGCCAAACCCAUUCACACAAGCCCCCUUUUAACAGAAUUAAUGCAUUCAUGAGGGCAGAUCCCUGGGGACCUAAAUACUUCCCGUUAGGCCACAGCCCACCCCACCCAACCCCGACACUACCACAUUGGGGUUUAAGUUUGCACAUCAGUUUCAGAGGGGACAAAAAGGUUCAAACCAUAGCAUGCACCAACGGAUGGGCUAGGGAGCAGGCAAUCGAUCCCUUGUGUGGGGCGGUUUGUUCAGGGUGAGAGGAGUGAGAAGGAACCCCGUUGGGGCUCCUCCAUGCAGACACGGAGGGCUUGUGGAGGAAUUCAUUACUACAGAGCAAAUCAAAGUAUGCAGGAGAUUGUGUGGAGAAUGGCACCAUAUCCCCGCCUCCAAGACAAAGGUCUCUAUACCCAUGGAUGGGUUGUAGGAGGGGUUCUGGAAGGGAUGUCUCAGACAUCAGACUAUCCAAAGCUACAGGCUAGGAGCUGGAAUCUCAUGGUGUCCACAGACAUCCGACAUGUCAAAUUCUAAACCGGACACUGAAUGAAAGGUACCAGCAGGCAAGAAAACACUGGGGCAGAGAAAGGUUACAAUGGAUGCACAGGAUGAAAACCUGGACAGAUUUAGAGCAUUCCUAUGAAACGGAGAGAGGAAAUGAGAAAUAUCUUCCCACAAUUGAGAAGUCAGGCCCAGGUGACUUUGGGGGUGAAUUCUACCCAACAUUUAAAGAAGAAAUAGUACCAAUCCUUUGCAGACGCUUCCAGAAUGUGGAAGAGGGUGGGGGGUUGGGGGGCAUUUCCCAACUCAUUUGGUGAAGAGCAUUUACUCUGCUACUAAAGCCAGACAGAGACAUCACAGGAAUGCGACAGACCGAUAUCCACCAUGAAUAUCAACACAAAAAGGCUGAAGAAAAUAUGAACGAGUCAGGUGUAGAGGUGCAAACCUGUAAUCCCAGCUAUUUGGGAGACUGAGGCCGAAGGAUUCAAAAGUUUGAAGCCGUCCUGGGCACCUUAGCGAGGCCCCGUUGCAAACUGAAAAAGAAAAAUUAUUUUUACAGGGCCGGGAGUGUACUUCAGUGGUAGGGCGCAUGACCAGCAUGUGUGGGGCCCUGGGUUCCAUCCUCAGUGGCACCAAAAAUAAAGAAAAUAUUCAUGAACCAUAUCCAGCAACAGAUACAAAAUGUUACGCAACAUUUCCAGGUAAAAUUUCUCCUAGGAAUCCACGAUUGGUUAACAUUCCAAUUUCAAUUAAGGUCUUCCACCAUGUUAAUAUAAUAAAGGACAGAAGCGGCAUCAUCAUCUUGAUAGGAAAAGAAAAGGCGUUUGACAAAACCCAAGACACAUUCAUGGAAAAAGAAUUUCUCAACCAACCCCACAUGGUUAGAAGGAAAGGCUCUCAACCUAUAAAGAGCAUCUACCAUAAACCUACAGCUGACAUUAUAUAUUGUAGUGAAAUAACAAACACUUUUCCCGUAAGACUGAGAGCAAGGCAAGGAUGCUCGUUCCCACUGUUCUCUCCACAGGUUCUAUCUGGCGCAGUCACGUAAGAAAAAGAAGUGGAAACGUGGAUACAUUAGAAAGGAAAACACAUGACCACUCAGAGACGUGCUGUGGUUUGUCCCCUCCAAAAUUCAUGUUGAAAUUGAAUCCCCAUUUUUGAGAUCUUAGGAGGGGCCUGUGAGAGGUGAUGAGCGCUCUGCCCUCACCAAUGGACUAGUCUAGGACGAAUCGGGUAAGAGGUUAAUGGGUUGAUCUGGAGAGUGGGUCUGCUAUGAAAGCCAGUUAGGACGGUACCCUCUCUGAUGCUCCAUGUCUCCCUGCCACGAGAUGCCCUACUCCACCUGGGGACCCUGCCAGGAAGAGGGCCAUGGCCAGAUGGGGAACCUCGACUCAGAACCAUGAGCCAAAAUAAACCUCUUUCCUUUAUACCUUCCCAAGUUGAGGAUAUUGGCAACAGCAAACAGGCUAAGACAACGUGUACUCCAUGCUUAUGGCAGUAUUAUUCAUGAUGGCCCCAGAUGAAGACAAUUAAAUGCCUGCCAGUUGUUGAAGGUAUAAAUAAAAGGUGGAAAAAAUAAAAUUAAAAAAAUGAAAAAGUGGAAUUCAGGUAUCCAUAUAGUAGAAUAUUAAUGAGCAAAGUUUAGGGACAAACUACUAAUACGUGCUAUGGCUUGUUUGAAACUUGAAAAUAUUUUCCUAAUGGCCAGAACCCGGGGAGUGGGGAGAGGGGAAGUCCGCUUCUUGCAUGAGUCAGUUUAUAGGGAAUUCCUGGGCCUGGCGGUAGUCAUGGAGAUUGACUGCUACAUGGGUAUGAGGGAAUCUUUUGGGGGCAAGGGAUAGAAGCAUUCUGAAACAGGGUUGUGGUGAUGGUUGCACAACCGCAUGAAUGUACAGAACGUCACUGCAUUGUACCUUUAGUUGCAUGAAUUUCAUGGUAUGCCUCAAUAAAGAUGUUUUUAAAAAUGUAAUGCACA
rnacentral:lncRNA from 1 species